rnacentral:rRNA from 1 species
AUGUCUGUGUGGAAUAAAUAUUCAGUCUGACCUGCCCACUGAGUUUUAAAGGGCUGCGGUAAUUUGACCGUGCAAAGGUAGCAUAAUCAAUAGUCUUUUAAUUGGAGGCUUGAAUGAAUGGUUUGAUGGAAGAAAAUCUGUCUCUUUAAUUGGGUUGAAUUUAACAUUUGUGUGAAAAGGCAUUAAUGGUUUAGAGUGACGAUAAGACCCUAUAAAACUUUACAUGUUAAAAUUGUUUAUAUUAAACUGUUAAGUAACUGUUAAGUGAUUGGUCGUGUUUUGCUGGGGCGGCAAAGAUAUAAUACUAACUGUUUUAAGCGUAGAAUAUUUAUAAGUAGAGAGUGGUCCUUUAUUAGAGAGGUUAGAGUAAGUUACUUUAGGGAUAACAGCAUAAUUUCUUUUAAGAGUUCGUAUCGAAGGAGAUAGUUGUGACCUCGAUGUUGAAUUAAACUUUCCUUUAGGUGUAGGAGUUUAGAAGGAGGGCCUGUUCGGCCUAUAGAUGUUU